rnacentral:lncRNA from 1 species
GUGCUGUUGGAGAGGCGGCGGGGCAGCCGCUCGCUGCUCGGCCCCUUGCCCGACGGCUCCUCCGCCUUGUCCGCCGGCGGCGGCGGGGGCGGAGCGGCAGCGGCGGCGGGUCGGGACCCGACACCCCGCUCCUGGCUGGCGAUAAGGGAGAGAACGUGGCUGUCGGUGAUGGGCAGAGGGUCGCUCUUGCGCUUCCACUCGCGCUUGUUGAAGCUGUAGAGCUCCUCCAUGCUCCUCACCGCCGCCGUCAGCUUCUCCAGCGCGUUCUGCACCGGCGCUGCCUUGCUUUCCUCCCGCGGGUCCUCCUCCGGUGCCCGGCUCCUCUCGGGGGGCGGCGGCGGCGGCUGGUGCCGCCAGGGCGCGGCGGAUUUGGAAACGAUCUUGAGCACAGCCGGCUGGCGAGCAUCGCUCUUGUUGGGGGCGAUGGUGGCCACUGGCAGCCUGCCCGAGGUGCGGUGCACCAGCACGGUGCCCUCCGGAGGGCAGGCGGGCGCCUUGCCCGUCGCCUUGGCCCCCGCCUCGGUGGGCUUGUUGCCGGUGUGGCCGACCGCCUGGCAGGUGAUGACCACGGGGGAGAGCGACCGGGGGACACCGGCGAUGACCAGCUGCUGCUGCUGCUGCUGGGGCUUCUGCUCCGGGCCGCCUUGCUCGGAGGCGCCGCUGCCCUUGUCGCUGCUGUUAUCUCCCGAAUCAGCGCUGUAGGAGCUUUUGAUGAGCUUCCGCACGUCCCGUACCUGGUGGAGGAUCCCCUGGGCUCUGUACUUGCUGUCCCUCACGUCGCGCACCAGGAACUGUGGCACUUUGUCGGGGCCGUCGCCGGCCUUGAGAGGCUUGAGCGGCAGUCCCCUGCCCUCCUCCGGCGGCCGGCCUGCGAUCUGCGGCGUCAGCAGCUGGGCGAUGCUGAAAGCGGCGUCCCGGGGCUGCUGCAGGCUGCCCAAGCUGAUCUUGAUCUCGGGGGCUUUGGGCUUGGCGGCGGGGGGCGAGGUGGCGGCGACGCCGCCGGCGGCCGAGGACACGGCGGCGGCACCGCCGGCGGCCGAGGACACGGCGGCGGCCGCGGCGGAACACUUGGUCGCCCUCUUGCCGGGUUCCUUCUCCCGAGGGGUGUGCUGAAUGGCGGGGACGAACAGGCGGGACAUCUUGGUGGACUUGCCGGCAGAGAUCUCGCCCAGGUCGGCUCGCCAGUCGUGCUUGGGAGAGAGUUUCAGCUUACCGACGGGCGCCCUCUCCUCCUUCCUUUCCGCCUCCCGCUCCUUCCAGGACCUGAAGGCGCUGUUCUGGCUGCGGAGGAAGGUGGCCUUGAUGGCCUCCGAGGCGCUGCGCUUCACCUCGCACAGCUCCUCCGACAGCGCCCGGUCCAGGCUGCGGUUCCCCUCGCGGGGCGUCGACGCCUUGGAGGCCGGAGAGGGGCCCCCGCCGCCCUCGGCCGCAUCCUCCGCCGGCGCCGCGGUGCAGUCCG